GGUCAAGUGAAGAAGAGCAUGAGGCGGAUGCCUUGGUACCGGGAGCCGACGAAGGACGUGACAAGCUGCGAAAAGCUGCGGAGAGGAGCAAAUAUCCAUCGAUCCGCAGAUAUCCGAAUGAGGGAACUCACCCGUGGCAAUGCGCGGGUACCGCACGCUGAAUAAAAUAGGCGUGGCGGAGGGAACGUGGGGAACUGAAACAUCUAAGUACCCAUAGGAAAAGAAAGAAAGAUCGAUUUCCAAAGUAGCGGCGAGCGAAAUGGAAAGAGCCCAAACCGAGCCUACGGGCGAGGGGUUGCGGGCUGCCAUAAGCGAUCAG
rnacentral:rRNA from 1 species